rnacentral:rRNA from 1 species
GACGAACGCUGGCGGCGUGCCUAAUACAUGCAAGUAGAACGAGUUGCGAACGGGUGAGUAACGCGUGGUAACCUGCAUCAGAGCGGGGGAUAACUAUUGGAAACGAUAGAUAAUACCGCAUACUGUGAGAGGGCCCGGCGUUGGAUUAGCUAGGUGGUGAGGUAAAGGCUCACCAAGGCGACGAUACAUAGCCGGCCUGAGAGGGUGAGCGGCCACACUGGAACUGAGACACGGUCCAGACUCCUACGGGAGGCAGCAGUGGGGAAUAUUGCACAAUGGGCGCAAGCCUGAUGCAGCCAUGCCGCGUGUAUGAAGAAGGCCUUCGGGUUGUAAAGUACUUUCAGCGGGGAGGCGUUACCCGCAGAAGAAGCACCGGCUAACUCCGUGCCAGCAGCCGCGGUAAUUC